rnacentral:rRNA from 1 species
CCUACGGGUUGCAGCAGUGGGGAAUAUUGCACAAUGGGCGCAAGCCUGAUGCAGCCAUGCCGCGUGUAUGAAGAAGACCUUCGGGUUGUAAAGUACUUUCAGCGGGGAGGAAGAUGUUGUGGUUAAUAACCGCAGCAAUUGACGUUACCCGCAGAAGAAGCACCGGCUAACUCCGUGCCAGCAGCCGCGGUAAUACGGAGGGUGCAAGCGUUAAUCGGAAUUACUGGGCGUAAAGCGCACGCAGGCGGUUGAUUAAGUUAGAUGUGAAAUCCCCGGGCUUAACCUGGGAAUGGCAUCUAAGACUGGUCAGCUAGAGUCUUGUAGAGGGGGGUAGAAUUCCAUGUGUAGCGGUGAAAUGCGUAGAGAUGUGGAGGAAUACCGGUGGCGAAGGCGGCCCCCUGGACAAAGACUGACGCUCAGGUGCGAAAGCGUGGGGAGCAAACAGGAUUAGAUACCCCAGUAGUC